rnacentral:rRNA from 1 species
UACGAGGGAUGCAAGCGUUAUCCGGAAUUAUUGGGCGUAAAGCGUUUGUAGGCGGGCGAGUGUGUUUAAUGUUAAAUCUUAAAGCUCAACUUUGAAAUUGCGUUAAAAACUGCUAGUCUUGAGUAUGGUAGGGGUAAAGGGAAUUCCCAGUGUAGCGGUGAAAUGCGUAGAUAUUGGGAAGAACACUAAACAGCGAAGGCACUUUACUAGGCUAAUACUGACGCUGAGAAACGAAAGGUAAGGUAGCGAAACGGAUUAGAUACCCGUGUAGUCUUACCCGUAAACUAUGGACACUAAACGGUAAAUUUUUAAUUUACUGUUAAAGCUAACGCGUUAAGUGUCCCGCCUGGGGAGUAUGCUUGCAAAAGUGAAACUCAAAGGAAUUGACGGGGGCCCGCACAAGCGGUGGAGCAUGUGGUUUAAUUCGACGGUACACGAAGAACCUUACCAGGAUUUGACAUGCUAGAUAGUUGCUUGAAAGAGUAACGUGCCGUAAGGAAUCUAGACACAGGUGGUGCAUGGCUGUCGUCAGUUCGUGUUGUGAAAUGUUGGGUUAAGUCCCGCAACGAACGCAACCCUUGUCUUUAGUUAUUUUCUAAAGAGACUGCCUGUAAUAAACAGGAGGAAGGUAAGGAUGAGGUCAAGUCAUCAUGCCCCUUAUGUCCUGGGCUACACACGUGCUACAAUGGGAAAGACAAUGAGCUGCAAAUCUGUAAAUUUAAGCAAAUCUCUUAAACUUUCUCGUAGUUCGGAUUGUGGGCUGCAACUCGCCCACAUGAAGUUGGAAUCGCUAGUAAUCGCCAGUCAGCUAUAUGGCGGUGAAUCCGUUCCCGGGCCU